rnacentral:rRNA from 1 species
CAGCAGUCGCCACGGUAAUACGAAGGGUGCAAGCGUUACUCGGAAUUACUGGGCGUAAAGCGUGCGUAGGUGGUGGUUUAAGUCCGUUGUGAAAGCCCUGGGCUCAACCUGGGAAUUGCAGUGGAUACUGGGUCACUAGAGUGUGGUAGAGGAUAGUGGAAUUUCCGGUGUAGCAGUGAAAUGCGUAGAGAUCGGAAGGAACAUCUGUGGCGAAGGCGACUAUCUGGGCCAACACUGACACUGAGGCACGAAAGCGUGGGGAGCAAACAGGAUUAGAUACCCGAGUAGUCCCUGUCUCUUAUAC